rnacentral:rRNA from 1 species
AUACAGAGGUCUCAAGCGUUGUUCGGAAUUACUGGGCGUAAAGGGUGCGUAGGCUGCGCAGAAAGUCAGGUGUGAAAUCCGGGAGCUCAACUUCCGAAUGGCACCCGAUACUCCUGUGCUAGAGGACUGGAGAGGAGCUCGGAAUUCUCGGUGUAGCAGUGAAAUGCGUAGAGAUCGAGAGGAACACUAGUGGCGAAGGCUGGGCUCUGGACAGUAUCUGACGCUGAGGCACGAAGGUCAGGGGAGCAAACGG